GGUCCGGUGGACUAGUAGUUAGAACGUCCGCCUCGUAUGUGCGAGGUAGCGGGUUCAAAUCCCGACCGAGUCA